GGAGUCGGCCAGGCGGCCGCGCUCGCAGGCCGGGGUGACCCGGCGGCGGGUGAGGAAAGUCCGGACUCCGAAGGGCAGGGUGCUGGGUAACGCCCAGGCGUGGUGACACGUGGCAAGCGCAACAGAGAGCAGACCGCCGGCAGGUCCGCCUGUCGGUAAGGGUGAAACGGUGAGGUAAGAGCUCACCAGCGCGGCGGGUGACCGUCGCGGCUAGGCAUGCCCCACCCGGAGCAAGGCCGAGCAGGGACCACGGCGGCCCGUCGACAUGGUCCCGGGUAGGCCGCUCGAGGCGUCGGGAGACCGGCGUCCCAGAGAGAUGGUCGCCACCCGUGGCCGGGCAACCAGCCACGGGGACAGGAUCCGGCUUAUCGGCCGGCUCCUCCC
rnacentral:RNase_P_RNA from 1 species